rnacentral:misc_RNA from 1 species
GGAGGGUUUUGCGGGCUUCUCAGAAGUCGGCUCCUCUUAAAUGCAUUAGCGGAACCUUUGUGGACCAGCUUGGUGUGAUAAUUAUCUACGCCAUGGUUGUGAAGCAGCUUUACAUGGGGUUCAGCUUCUAACAGUCCAUUGACUUGGACAAUUUCUGACAUUUUGACCUCAAAUCAGGUAGGACUACCCGCUGAACUUAA